rnacentral:sRNA from 1 species
GCCAGGCGCGGUGGCUCACGCCUGUAAUCCCAACACCUUGGGAGGCCGAGGCCGGUGGAUCACCUGAGGUCAGGAGUUCGCGGCCAGCCUGACCAAUAUGGUGAAACCCUGUCUCUA